rnacentral:tRNA from 1 species
UGCACUUGAAAAGAGAGAUAUCUCAAUAGCGGUCUGUUGCUUCGGAAGCAUGG